rnacentral:rRNA from 1 species
UGGCUAAUGACGGUACCUGAAGAAUAAGCACCGGCUAACUACGUGCCAGCAGCCGCGGUAAUACGUAGGGUGCAAGCGUUAAUCGGAAUUACUGGGCGUAAAGCGUGCGCAGGCGGUUUUGUAAGUCUGUCGUGAAAGCCCCGGGCUCAACCUGGGAAUUGCGAUGGAGACUGCAAGGCUUGAAUCUGGCAGAGGGGGGUAGAAUUCCACGUGUAGCAGUGAAAUGCGUAGAGAUGUGGAGGAACACCGAUGGCGAAGGCAGCCCCCUGGGUCAAGAUUGACGCUCAUGCACGAAAGCGUGGGGAGCAAACAGGAUUAGAUACCCUGGUAGUCCACGCCCUAAACGAUGUCUACUAGUUGUCGGGUUUUAAUUAACUUGGUAACGCAGCUAACGCGUGAAGUAGACCGCCUGGGGAGUACGGUCGCAAGAUUAAAACUCAAAGGAAUUGACGGGGACCCGCACAAGCGGUGGAUGAUGUGGA